AUAGUAAUAUUUCAAAGUAAUAUUUCUUUCUGUUCGAGUGUGAUACUGUGAUGUGUAGGAACUAAAGCCCAGCUAGUUUUUCUUCCCUAGUGCCACGCCGGCUCAUUGUAACCGGACAAGGUGACCUUUGUUGUGAGGUGUGCGUAACCUAACGUUAAC